rfam:Octopus bimaculoides Scaffold120200_contig_13, whole genome shotgun sequence.
GUAUUUUCAUAUUUUCGGCAAUACCUCAACUAAAAUUGGAACGAUGAAGAAAAGUUAGCAUGGCCCCUGCACAAGGAUGACACGCAAGUUCAUUAAGCAUUCCAAUAUUUU